UCCGGCGUAGCUCAAUGGUAGAGCGGCUCGCUGUUAACGAGAAGGUUCCAGGUUCGAGUCCUGGCGCCGGAG
rnacentral:tRNA from 1 species